GGUUUGAUCCUGGCCUGAUUGAACGCUGGCGGGAUGCUUUACACAUGCAAGUCGAACGGCAGCACGGACUUCGGUCUGGUGGCGAGUGGCGAACGGGUGAGUAAUGUAUCGGAACGUCAUAGUAGCGGGGGAUAACUACGCGAAAGCGUAGCUAAUACCGCAUACGCCCUUCGGGGGAAAGCGGGGGACCCGGGCCUCGCACUAUUAGAGCGGCCGAUAUCGGAUUAGCUAGUUGGUGGGGUAACGGCUCACCAAGGCGACGAUCCGUAGCUGGUUUGAGAGGACGACCAGCCACACUGGGACUGAGACACGGCCCAGACUCCUACGUGGAGGCAGCAGUGGGGAAUUUUGCACAAUGGGGAAACCCAUCCAGCCAUCCCGCGUGUGCGAUGAAGGCCUUCGGGUUGUGGAAGAAUUUUUGGCAGGAAGAAACGGCACGGGAUAAUACCCCGUGCAACUGACGGUACCUGCAGAAUAAGCACCGGCUAACUACGUGCCAGCAGCCGCGGUAAUACGUAGGUGCAAGCGUGUUAAUCGGAAUUACUGGGCGUAAAGCGUGCGCAGGCGGUUGGAAAGAAAGAUGUGAAAUCCCAGAGCUUAACUUUGGAACUGCAUUUUUAACUACCGAGCUAGAGUGUGUCAGAGGGAGGUGGAAUUCCGCGUGUAGCAGUGAAAUGCGUAGAUAUGCGGAGGAACACCGAUGGCGAAGGCAGCCUCCUGGGAUAACACUGACGCUCAUGCACGAAAGCGUGGGGAGCAAACAGGAUUAGAUACCCUGGUAGUCCACGCCCUAAACGAUGUCAACUAGCUGUUGGGGCCUUCGGGCCUUGGUAGCGCAGCUAACGCGUGAAGUUGACCGCCUGGGGAGUACGGUCGCAAGAUUAAAACCUCAAAGGAAUUGACGGGGACCCGCACAAGCGGUGGAUGAUGUGAUUAAUUCGAUGCAACGCGAAAAACCUUACCUACCCUUGACAUGUCUGGAAUCCCGAAGAGAUUUGGGAGUGCUCGCAAGAGAACCGAACACAGGUGCUGCAUGGCUGUCGUCAGCUCGUGUCGUGAUGUUAAGUCCCGCAACGAGCGCAACCCUGUCAUUAGUUGCUACGAAAGGGCACUCUGACGAGACUGCCGGUGACAAACCGGAGGAAGGUGGGGAUGACGUCAAGUCCUCAUGGCCCUUAUGGGUAGGGCUUCACACGUCAUACAAUGGUCGGGACAGAGGGUCGCCAACCCGCGAGGGGGGAGCCAAUCCCAGAAACCCGAUCGUAGUCCGGAUCGCAGUCUGCAACUCGACUGCGUGAAGUCGGAAUCGCUAGUAAUCGCGGAUCAGCAUGUCGCGGUGAAUACGUUCCCGGGUCUUGUACACACCGCCCGUCACACCAUGGGAGUGGGUUUUUACCAGAAGUAGUUAGCCUAACCGUAAGGAGGGCGAUUACCACGGUAGGAUUCAUGACUGGGGUGAAGUCGUAACAAGGUAGCCCCG
rnacentral:rRNA from 1 species